rnacentral:rRNA from 1 species
AGUCGAACGAUGAACCUCCUUCGGGAGGGGAUUAGUGGCGAACGGGUGAGUAACACGUGGGCAAUCUGCCCUUCACUCUGGGACAAGCCCUGGAAACGGGGUCUAAUACCGGAUAUGACACGGGGUCGCAUGAUCUCCGUGUGGAAAGCUCCGGCGGUGAAGGAUGAGCCCGCGGCCUAUCAGCUUGUUGGUGAGGUAGUGGCUCACCAAGGCGACGACGGGUAGCCGGCCUGAGAGGCGACGCCCACCCCUGGACUGAGAACGUCCAGACCCUACGGAGGCAGCAGUGGGGAAUAUUGCACCAAUGGCGAAGCCUGAUGCAGCGACGCCGCGUGAGGGAUGACGCCUCGGGUGUAAACCUCUUCAGCAGGGAAGAAGCGAGAGUGACGUACCUGCAGAAGAAGCGCCGGCUAACUACGUGCCAGCAGCCGCGGUAAUACGUAGGGCGCGAGCGUUGUCCGGGAAUUAUUGGGCGUAAAGAGCUCGUAGGCGGCUUGUCACGUCGGAUGUGAAAGCCCGGGGCUUAACCCCGGGUCUGCAUUCGAUACGGGCAGGCUAGAGUUCGGUAGGGGAGAUCGGAAUUCCUGGUGUAGCGGUGAAAUGCGCAGAUAUCAGGAGGAACACCGGUGGCGAAGGCGGAUCUCUGGGCCGAUACUGACGCUGAGGAGCGAAAGCGUGGGGAGCGAACAGGAUUAGAUACCCUGGUAGUCCACGCCGUAAACGUUGGGAACUAGGUGUGGGCGACAUUCCACGUCGUCCGUGCCGCAGCUAACGCAUUAAGUUCCCCGCCUGGGGAGUACGGCCGCAAGGCUAAAACUCAAAGGAAUUGACGGGGGCCCGCACAAGCAGCGGAGCAUGUGGCUUAAUUCGACGCAACGCGAAGAACCUUACCAAGGCUUGACAUACACCGGAAAACCGUGGAGACACGGUCCCCCUUGUGGUCGGUGUACAGGUGGUGCAUGGCUGUCGUCAGCUCGUGUCGUGAGAUGUUGGGUUAAGUCCCGCAACGAGCGCAACCCUUGUUCUGUGUUGCCAGCAUGCCUUUCGGGGUGAUGGGGACUCACAGGAGACUGCCGGGGUCAACUCGGAGGAAGGUGGGGACGACGUCAAGUCAUCAUGCCCCUUAUGUCUUGGGCUGCACACGUGCUACAAUGGCCGGUACAAUGAGCUGCGAUACCGCGAGGUGGAGCGAAUCUCAAAAAGCCGGUCUCAGUUCGGAUUGGGGUCUGCAACUCGACCCCAUGAAGUCGGAGUUGCUAGUAAUCGCAGAUCAGCAUUGCUGCGGUGAAUACGUUCCCGGGCCUUGUACACACCGCCCGUCACGUCACGAAAGUCGGUAACACCCGAAGCCGGUGGCCCAACCCCUUGUGGGAGGGAAUCGUCGAAGGUGGGACUGGCGAUUGGGACGAAGUCGUAACAA